CUCCGCCGCCCCGCGCGCCGCCCCUGCGCGCCUCCUGCGGCCCCGGCUGCCCGCUGCAGCUCCGCGCUACGCUCCCUCGACGGCCGCGGCCACGGUCGGCUACAAGGGAGCGGCACUGGGGCCAGGCCGAGGCAGCUGCUGCGCCUGCGGAGGGAGGAGGCGCGUGGCAGCCCCCCCACGGCCGGUGAUUCCGAGUCGACUCCGGGGGUGGGGAGUUUACCCUGGCUGGACUUCCUGAGCAGCGGCCUGGGGGCGGGGCUUGGAUAUUGUUUGCCGUGGUGGUCCCAGGAUAUUAGAGAGGCAAGGUGGAUGAGGUAAUAUCGUACAUUGGACCAAUUUCUGUUGUUGAAAGAGGCAAGCUUUCAAGUUUUCUGUUGUACUUCCUUCUCAGGAUUGACCUUCUGUCUCCUUUCCUAAAGCUCUCUGCCUGGUUACAGAGGUCAGGCGUUCCUUUCUCUCACCCUUCUGCUCCUGGAUUUAACUACGAAGGAUAUAUGAACCUGUAGCCCUCUUGCGAGGAUGGAUCUUGCAAGACGUUUAGUGACUUCCACUCUGAUUGAGGGUGAAUAACAUUUUGCAUAACCGAGCCCACGGGCAAGACGUCAAUUAAUUACAACUGGGAGUUUUGUCUGCGAAGAGCCUGUGGAACAUAAAGGAAAUGAAGGGCUAGAUUCACAAAACAUGGGGGCAAUGGUGGUGCCACCCUCUAUAACUUUUGGCCUUGUGGUUCGGGCACUCACCUGGUCUGUGGGAGUUCAGAUGAUACUUGAUGUGAAGAAGGAAUCUGAAUUUAGCAGGGAGAGCUCUAACCACUGGGCUAUUGGUGGUGGAGGUGGAGAGGGGACUAUUUCUCAAUAUCUUCAAUUGAAACUGUUCUACUCAGUGCUUAAUUUGUAAUAAAAGAGGUGCUGGGGCUCAAGCAAUUUUUUUUUACUUUUGUAACUGACACGCCAAGCCCAGAGGUGCCGGGGCUAUGAACUGCCAAGCCCAAAGGUGCCGGGGGUCAGCCCUGGCACAAAUUAAGCACUGAUUCCACUGUGUAUAAAUAAUACUCAGAGCAGCAACAUGAACUUGAGCCUCCCAUCUCCAAACAGAGAGCCCUAUCACCAGGCUAGAGAAUCAUUCUCUCUCUCUAUGGCCCAAUGACUAUUCACGUGUUUUAUACGAAGUGGAAGAGCUUCCACAGGAGAGAUGGAGAGAGACCGACAUCAUAAUAUCCAAUAGCCCAGUGAUGAGGACACUGCUACAAUGUGGCAGACCCAAGUUCUUCUCCAUUUCCACAUCAGGCAGAGGGGGAGAAUUGAACCUGGCCUCCCAUGUGAGUGCCUUAACCACUAGGCUAAAUGUUAUAAGACACAGAGCAGCACCGUCUCCAUGGUGCCUAAGUCUCAUGGGGGGAAAAUUAGCCAAAAGUAUUUGGUUCAAAUACAGUUUCAUGUUGACCAAAAUUGCAGUUUUCAGCGAACACCUCGCCCAGCUCCAGUUAAGUCUCCUUUCUGCUGCUAGAACUGCACAGAGAGGGCCUCAUCCUGUCAUCUGGGAUCUGACCUGAAAUCUCCCCUUUGGCUCAAGACUCAGCUUUGCCUUUCUCUCACUGAACAUCUUUUAGCUGCCUGCUUAAAAGCUUUAUGUAACUUUAUGAAAUAACAAUGAACAUACACACAAUAACAAACCAGAUAAACAAAAAGAGGACUCUGGUUGAAUACUGCAGGAUACGGAAAGGUUGGGAAUUAUCUCUAUUACAUGCAGAGACCACCUAAUAUCUAGGUUGUUUUAUUCAUCCUGACUUUUUGCUGCUGACUUUUUUUUUUUCUCUUAUCCUUGAUCUUCCAUCUAAUCAUCCUGCGAUUACUUAGGACCUGCGUGAUCCUUUAACUCAGUGAAAAUGUUGUCAUUGUCUUUAGUGAGCACAUGGGUUGACCCUUCAGGAUAUUGAACUGAAAAUGCCAUCAUGUUCUAAAAUCACACCACUUCUUGGUCAGAAUGCACUUUAUCUCAUUGACUGACAGGGCUUCAAACAGAGAAAUGGACUAUACUGUAAAAUGCACAGUGUAAAUAAAGAGCUUUCAUAAGUGACUACCAGAAAAUUCUAAGAGUCUUAUUUCUUUCUAGACAUGUAUCCUGAAAUGACUUUUUCCUCUGUCUACCUCCUUAUUUUACAAUGUAAGCAUCCCAUGGAGAAGAUGAAAGGGAUCUUUCAGUAUUUAAAAUUUCAUCCGUGUCAUCACAUUUUCUCAUCUGGAUAUUACCAACUAAUUGUAUUUUAGGGGUA